UGAACGCUGGCGGCGUGCCUAAUACAUGCAAGUCGAGCGAACGGACGAGAAGCUUGCUUCUCUGAUGUUAGCGGCGGACGGGUGAGUAACACGUGGAUAACCUACCUAUAAGACUGGGAUAACUUCGGGAAACCGUAGCUAAUACCGGAUAAUAUUUUGAACCGCAUGGUUCAAAAGUGAAAGACGGUCUUGCUGUCACUUAUAGAUGGAUCCGCGCUGCAUUAGCUAGUUGGUAAGGUAACGGCUUACCAAGGCAACGAUGCAUAGCCGACCUGAGAGGGUGAUCGGCCACACUGGAACUGAGACACGGUCCAGACUCCUACGGGAGGCAGCAGUAGGGAAUCUUCCGCAAUGAGCGAAAGCCUGACGGAGCAACGCCGCGUGAGUGAUGAAGGUCUUCGGAUCGUAAAACUCUGUUAUUAGGGAAGAACAUAUGUGUAAGUAACUGUGCACAUCUUGACGGUACCUAAUCAGAAAGCCACGGCUAACUACGUG
rnacentral:rRNA from 1 species